UAAUAUAUAUGGCAAAACAAAGUUUGCAGGGUCAGCUAGUACACAUAUAAAUAUAUUCUUAAUUGGAUCACAGUACCGUUAUUUAUAGCACUUUUAUACGGAUAAAUUUUUAUUUAUAAUCAAGAAAGACUAAUUGUGCUGAAGCGUAUUUAAAUAUAUCAUUUCUCUUUAUGAAAUUUCAUCACAAAGUAGUAUUGAUAAUAUCAUUGUAAAAUUAAUCUACAAUUAAUUAUUGUGCAGUAAAAAAUAUAUAUUUUUUAAUUUGUAAA